GUGUUUCUCACUUCAGCAGCACAUGUACUAAAAUAGGAGUGAUCCAGAGAUUAGCAUGGCCAUACGUGAGGAUAACAUGCAAAUUCAUGAAGGGCUCCAUAUUCUU